rnacentral:rRNA from 1 species
AGGAAAAGAAACCAACAGGGAUUGCCCCAGUAACGGCGAGUGAAGCGGCAACAGCUCAAAUUUGAAAUCUGGCCCCCCGGGGCCCGAGUUGUAAUUUGCAGAGGAUGCUUUUGGCGAGGCGCCUUCCGAGUUCCCUGGAACGGGACGCCACAGAGGGUGAGAGCCCCGUCUGGUUGGAUGCCGAGCCUCUGUAAAGCUCCUUCGACGAGUCGAGUAGUUUGGGAAUGCUGCUCUAAAUGGGAGGUAUAUGUCUUCUAAAGCUAAAUAUUGGCCAGAGACCGAUAGCGCACAAGUAGAGUGAUCGAAAGAUGAAAAGCACUUUGAAAAGAGGGUUAAAUAGUACGUGAAAUUGUUGAAAGGGAAGCGCUCAUGACCAGACUUGGGGCCCGGUGAAUCAUCCAGCGUUCUCGCCGGUGCACUUUGCCGGGCUCAGGCCAGCAUCAGUUCGCCCUGGGGGAGAAAGGCUCUGGGAAUGUGGCUCCUCCGGGAGUGUUAUAGCCCUCUGCGCAAUGCCCUGGGGCGGACUGAGGUCCGCGCAUCUGCAAGGAUGCUGGCGUAAUGGUCAUCAGCGACC